rnacentral:rRNA from 1 species
AGGACGAACGCUGGCGGCGUGCUUAACACAUGCAAGUCGAGCGGUAAGGCCUUUCGGGGUACACGAGCGGCGAACGGGUGAGUAACACGUGGGUGAUCUGCCCUGCACUCUGGGAUAAGCCUGGGAAACUGGGUCUAAUACCGGAUAUGACCUGCUCUCGCAUGGGGGUGGGUGGAAAGAUUUAUCGGUGCAGGAUGGGCCCGCGGCCUAGUCAGCUUGUUGGUGGGGUAAUGGCCUACCGAAGGCGACGACGGGUA